GAAGGAGAUGGGCUGCAUUUAAAGUCUUCAAGGAACUAUGCUGGGAAGAACAUGUAGCUUGUGAGCUAGGUACAUCUCUGCUUCAGUCCAAAUGCAUAGUUUACCUUUGGAAAAUUGUGACUAGAUUCCCCUAUUCAUUUAUUUUACUUUGGUCAUUCAGAAUGUUUCUACCCAGAAAAUGUAAGCAAAAAUAUGAGGGCACAUAAGCACUCUAAUAAUAUGUGUCUCCAAGGGAAAUGACUAAAACACUUGAAGUUUUACUAUUUAGUUUUGUUGUAUUUUACUUUCAUGUGUAUUUGUCUACAUAAAAAUAAAUAAAAAUGAAUUUUUUAAAAAAGCACUCAGAAUACUGUAGGACUUAGGUAAUGAUGUAAUUUGGCACUAAACCAACAAAGACCUGUGAAAAUUGUGCAGUUGUGGUUCUCCAUAACAAAAUAUUAGUGGGAAUGCAGUAUCCAAAUAUUACAUUGCAGAGAGGGUUUGGAUAUCCAGCACUGAGUAACAGCUGUUUUAUCUAUUGCACAUUAAACUGGCUAUCUUGCACUGGAACUGGCCACUGAAAGUCAGGCCAGGUAUUUCAAACAUAAAACUGUUCCACCUCUAGUUGCUAUUCUCUGCUCAUCUUCCUUUUUACUUACAUACAGCUUGUUAUAUUUCCUUCCAUUUUUUGCACUUCAGAAUCUCCCUACUGCACUUUUGUCAAACCAAACAGUGCCCAAAUUCUUUUAAAACUAGAUUCGUAGAGCACUGUGUUCCUCAAUUUAUUCAAAGUCUUACUGUGGGCUAUUUGAGGGGCUUAGCUUGUUACUAAUAACUGAAAUAUGAAGUGUCAAAGCAAUACAGUAGUUUUAAUUCUCUGGGACUAGGGGCUAAAACCUGGGCCUUCUGCUUCUUGAUUCUGAGCUCCUGUUCUGAUCUGUGAAGUCUUUGUGUUUUGGUUUGCUUCUUUGCAUGGGAGGAACAAAGAUACAAGCUGCAUUGGCAAACUUGAUCACCAAACCCAAGUUUUAUCUCAUGCAACUUGGUUAAUUACACGUUAAAAUUUGGUGGUGGGGUCUUUGUCUUUCAAAUAUCUACGCAGCUUCAUUUGUAUAAAGAGAUUAUUUUCUUAAUCCUUUUGGACUUUUGCUUAGUGGGCAAGGUGUGGCUAAUUUAGCAGCUCUCUUAAGCUUUGGGUGCCCUCUGCUGGUAAAUCUUGGGGGCGGGCAGCAAGUGUGGAGAAGAAGAGCUCCAGGUUAGAGUCCAUGUGUUACUGCUUUACCUGAUCAUUUUUGUGAACGCAUACACAUGACCAACACUUGUGGCUACCCAUACCCUCAAUCAACAUGAACAUUGGCACUUUGCCUGGGGGGCAUGUUCCUACAUGUUCUGUAGCCAUGCAUUGCAAACCAAUGUGUAAAUCGCAGAACAGCUCAGAUCUUUGGCCUGUGGCAGGCGUGGUUAAGCUGUGACCCUCCAGAUAUUGCUGGACUACAAUUCCAGGCAGAUCUGCACCAUACAUUUAAAGUGCAUUCAACACCCAUCCAAAGGAUAUGGCUUCUCCCAAAAAACCUUGGGAACUGCAAUUUGUUAAGGAUGCUGAGACAUGAAGCUUGGGGACUACAGUUCCCAAAAUUCAUCGGGGAAAGUCAUGUGAGAACCUCAGGAACUGUACUUUGUUAAGGGUGCCAGGAAGUGUAGCUCUGGAAGAGGGAGACUACAGUUCUGAUUUGGGGGGGGAUGUUAUGUGUUCUAAAUGCAGUAUAUGUCCCUUGGCCAUUCUGGCUGGGGCUGUUAGGAGCUGGAGCACAACAACUGCUGGCAGGCUGCAGAUAAGAACCCCACGUGACUCCCACCCACCCACCCAACCACACCAGGCCAUGUGCAUUUUAGAAUACAUUUUAUGUUUUGCACAUUUUAAAAUACAAUUGCAGCCGUGCCAUUAAAACUAACAAGGAGGUAGCCCUAAGCUUCCUGAAGAAUUAACAGGAUUUAUGGUUGGACGCUGCCUAGCUAUCCUUCCCAUCCUGAAAGGAGCAAGAGCUCAGCUGCUUAUGACACUUCCACCUGAGUCCACGGGCUGGCUUACACAUGCACACUCAUCAUCUGAAGAGUUUCAUAUCAUCUGUCAGCCCAGCAAAGUAGCUGGCUUUAUUUAUUGCAAAUGCUUCUAGCCUUCCCUCCUAGCACUUGCACACCAUACAAGGCAGCUAACAACAAUUAAAACACAACCAUAAAACACAACGCUAUCUCAUGUGCAGCAGAUAAAAUGAAGGUAUCAGUCAAAACAAAGGUUUGUCUAUCAGCAGAGUGGUCAUUUGGCCUGCUGCUGACUGUGGGUGCUAUAGAAUUAUUAUGGAGAGUUGGGCAAAGAAGCGCAUUUUGCUUUCGGCACAGUUCUGUUAUUUGGUUGAGAUAAGCCACUUAGUAGCAAAGGCAUUUUGACAUUUGCAGUUGUCUUGUAAUGUCAUGCUGAUAGUGACACUUUGAGACUGCUGACAGCAUUUGUUUUGUAACACCUGUGCGUAUCUGUCAGUAUUAAUAAGAGCAGCUGCAUUCCGUGUGUGUGUGAGAGAGAGAGGGGAGGGCCUGCAAUAUAUAUUGAGUGGAGUGUCUUCUUUUGUAGUUCCUCCCUCUUGAGUAGAAACACAGUGUAGCAUUGCCAUUUUUACUGUAAGUGGAUAAACCUGCCACCAUUGAAAUUAACGGUACUCACUACCACUUGAGUUUCAGUUUUGUGUACAGCAAAAUUUAUGUAGAACUCAGGAUUGGAGUGGCAAUAUGCAGCAGAAGCACUAAAUGUAAAAAUACAUCCCUAUCAAUUGGCUUAUGGAAAUGUCAGCUUAUAUAUGAUUUGAAGGUCAAGCUGAUGGGACAGGUUUUGAAAGCAGUACGACAUAACAAAAUGUAAGAGGAGCCCUGCUGAAGCGGAGCAAAAGGCCCAUCAUCCUGUGCUCAAAGUGGUGAACCAGACACCUAUGAAAAUCCCACAAACAGGACACAAGUGCAAGAGCACUCUCCCCAUUUAGGCUCCCCAGAAACCGGUAUUUAGAGACAUGCUACCUCCCUUACUGAAGGUAGCACCAGGCCAUUAUGGCUAGUAACCACUAAUAUCCUCCAUGAAUUUGUCCCAGUCGAUCGUCAGUACUGGAUCUUCAGGUUAAUGUAUUCCAUUGUUUAAACAUGUGCUGUGUGAAAAAGUGCCUCAACCACAAAUAUCUACAAAACCUGGAAAGAGUGUGUUAAGCAUGGAGAACCAUGGGCAUCAAUACUUCCUUAAUGUGGGUCCAAUGUUGUACUCAAGGAUUUCUCCACCCGAGCCCAUCCAAUAAAACCAAAUGCAACAUAUUAUAUCCCAGCUUGAUGAGUGAGAUCAUACAAAGAAGCACUGUAAGUUGCACCUUGUGUUACAGAGACCUGAAUGGCCUCAGUUAGAAGUUGAACACUUAGUCCCUUGCAGCGGAACACUCUUCUGGCAAAGUCAGCAGGCACCCCUGCUUUUUACUUUCAGGUGUCUCUUGAAGACCUUUUUGUGCUGACAUGCCUAUGCAGUUGUUUAAAACUUUCUUGAUUAGCCAGUCAUUUUAAUGAUCUUUUCAUGCUGUUUUAAUUGUCUUUUUAUGUUUUAUUUUAUACAUUUCAUGGCCCCUUAUCUCUAUUAGAGACCUCAUGACCUAUUUGGAGGGUGAGAAAAGUCUGCCCUCCCUUCUGAAAAACACACCAGCCCUUUUCUUCCUAGUAUGGGAGAUCCAUACUCACUCCCAGAUUCCCUUUGCUUGAUCAUGGAAAUAGAAUAUUUGCUGCCCAGGAGCAAAACAGCAUCAGGAAAAUAGAUUUAUUUUCAAGGGUAGUUCUAUCAAACGUAAAGUAUUGACCAAGGUCAGGGUUUUUUGUCUUGUUUUCUGUUUUUGUCUUCCCAUGUAUAUUUGCAAAAAGACUCAACUCAGUGAAAAACAUCUGAUGAGAUUAAAGUUCAGUUGUUUUUCAGUCACCAGUCCAAUGCCUGCAUUACUCAACCUUAACUUCAACAAUAAUGUUAUGGCGCUGGCCCCUAUUUCCUUUGUUAGGCAGAUUACUGGUUAAUGGCCCAAGAUCGCUGAGAAAUAUCCAACCUAACCCACUGAAUUGAUUAGGAGAUAACUGCAGAUCUCUCUCAGAGCCUUUUGCAGGAGUCAGCCAUCAAGGUUGGAGGAGGUGGAAUGGGGGAGAAAGGACAGGGGAAAAGAGCGUAGUGAAUAAAUUGAAUUUUGGCAGAGGGAAAGAGAGUGUGUGCUGUGAGCAGUCCAUCAGCAUUAAUACUUUGACUUUCUCUCUGGGUAUCUCACUUGACAUUGUUGGUAUAUAGCCUUAUAAGGGUGACAUAGGCUUACAUGGCCACCUGCACUUAAGACCAAGGAUGGAGAUCCUAAUGCCCUUCAGAUAUUGUUGGCCUACAACUCCCAUAAUCCCAUGCUGGCUGUGGCCAAUGGAAGAUGGAGUCCCACAACACCUGGAGGGCCACAGGUUUCCCAUCCCUGAUUUCAGACUACAAUAAACUGGGAUGGGUAGCAAAUGCCGCAGAAGCAUGAAUCGGGAAUCAAUAUGACCAUGACAGAUUGUAGAAUAGGCCCAAACUUACAAAAUGAAUCUCAGUAGGAACAAAUGUUAGGUUCUACAUUUAGGCAGGAAGAACCAGCUGAACAAACAGAAGAUGGUGGGACACCUGGCUUGCCGGUAGCACAUGUGAAAAGGAUCUCAGGGUCUUAGUAGACUACAAGCUGAACAGGAGUCCACAGUAUGAUGCAGCAGCAAAAAAAUGUGAAUACUACUAAUUGCAUCAACAAAAGUAUAAUGUCCUGAUCAAGGAAAAUAAUAGCCCCGCUCUGUACUGCUUUGGUGUAACCACACCUGGAGUACUGUGUCCAGUUCUGGGCACCACAAUUUAAGAAGGAUAUUGAAAAGCCAAAAAGUGUGCAGCGGAGGGAGAUCAAGAUGAAAACCAAGCCUUAUGAGGAAUGGUUGAUGGAGCUGGGAAUGUUUAGCCUGAAUAAGAGAAGACUGAGAGGAGAGAUGAUAGCCAUCUUCAAAUAUCUAAAGGGUUGUAACAUGGAAGAUGGAGCAAGCUCGUUUUUUCCUGCUCUGGAGAGUAGGACCCAAACCAAUGGAUUUAAAUUACAAGAAAGGAGAUUCUCACUAAACAUCAGAAAUAACUUUCUGUCAGUAAGAGCUGUUUGACAGCAGAACAGAAGUCAAACGGACUCAUUCCUUGAUUGUUUUUAAGCAGUGGUUGGAUGGCCACCUGUCAUGGAUGCUUUAACUGAGAUGGCUGCAUUGCAGGGAGUUGGACAAGAUGACCCUGAGGGUUCCUUCCAACUCCACAGUUCUAUGUGUCUAUGAUUCUCUGUUUGUCCAUCUGUAAAAUAAAAUGAAUGCUAUAACAACAUCAGAAGUCUCCAUUACUUUCAUUUCAAGGAAAGCAGACUUGAGUUGGGCUUCUCCUGGAACUUCUUGUAGCUUGAGAAAGUGAGGUACAUAUAACAAUACUUUUUCACUUCAGCUUGAAAAAGAAACACAACUUCCCUCACUAGAAAAGAAUAUCAUGCAUCAGUCUUGUUGUUGUUGUUGUUUAGUCAUUUAGUCGUGUCUGACUCUUUGUGACCCCAUGGACCAGAGGACGCCAGGCACUCCUGUCUUCCACUUGCAGGCUUGUAGGAUCCCAUAAAAUACCGUAUUUUUUGCUCUAUAAGACUCACUUUUCCCCUCCUAAAAAGUAAGGGGAAAUGUGUGUGCGUCUUAUGGAGCGAAUGCAGGCUGCAUGGCUAUCCCAGAAGCCAGAACAGCAAGAGGGAUUGCUGCUUUCACUGUGCAGCGAUCCCUCUUGCUGUUCUGGCUUCUGAGAUUCAGAAUAUAUUUUUUUCUUGUUUUCCUCCUCCAAAAACUAGGUGCGUCUUAUGGUCUGGUGCGUCUUAUAGAGCGAAAAAUACGGUAAGCCCGUCCCUAAGAAUGAUAGAGAGAAAGCUGCAACCCUAUAAUUGGAUGCAGAAAUUCCAUGAAUAAGAAGUUACAGAAUCAAAAUGGCUUGCAACUGGGUACAAUUGUGCAAGAAUGUAUAAUGAAAGGAUGAGCAAGUCAUGAAACUAAUUGUGUCUUUAGUUGAUUUAUUAAGGCUGUCCUGCAAAUUUGCUGAGACUGCAAUUCUGGGAGAAAUGCAUCAUCCCCUUGGUCUGGAAACACUUAUUUCUAAUAAAGCAUGGGCGGUAUAUGUGAUCUGUGGUGGAGGAAAGUGUACAUAAAUGUCCUGCUUUCCCUUGCCUUUGAAUUUGGUUCUGACAUCAUGGCUAAUUGGCCAGGUGUCAAUCAUUUACUUGAGCAGCUUAAGGCUGUUUUUGUACAAAUAAUGCUUUCUUUAAAAGUUGCAACAGCACCCCUGUAGGCAAAUAACUCUUACAAAAAUUUAAACAUUCUUUAAAAUUUUUUUUAAAAGAACAGAAACAAAUGAACAAAUAAGCAUAGAGACUUGGUUCUUUCCAAGUUCUGUUCCAAAACAAGUGAGCUAAAGAGGUUCAAACACUGGCAUACUCUAGCUAGCUAAAUCCUGUUUAGGGAAGAGCCAUAGCUCAGGGGUAUGGCAUCUGCUUUGCAUGCAGAAAGUCCCAUGGUCAAUUCCUGGCAUCUCCAGGUAAGGCUGGGCAAAGACUUCUGUUUGACACCCCAGAGAGCUGCUGCCAGCCAGUGUAGAUAAUAUUGAGCAAGAUGGAGCAAUGGUAUAAGGCAGCUUCCUACAUUCCUCUUUUGAGGUUCCAAGGUACACAAAAUGGGUGUUCAAAUGAGGUCCCUUCACAGGUGCAAGAGAUGAUUGGGGUUAGUGGGAACAUUCCUAGUGACCAUGCCCUUGCAAGUCAGCUGUGCUUUCUCUUCCUGGCGGCCAAGCAUUUGGCAGAGGGGCUCUACACAUGUGCAGCCCCACCAACUGACUGGGGAAUGCUGACUGGCCAGGAAAUCAGAUGGUGGGUGUGUUGACACAUGCGGAGCAUGGCUGGCAGGCACACGUUCCCUUGCACCUGCUAUGAGAGGAUGUAGGGAGUGGGUGGCAGGCCAAGAGUUACUAUUCCAAUUUUAUUUCUACCAGAACGUGGACAGGCUAAAGCAGUCUUGAGGCUGGAGCAAGAGCAUUGGCAGUGAUUUCUCACACCCACCCCUUCCUAAGGAUGCAGGGCACCCACAAAACGUGUGUGCAUUUGUGUUUACGAAUAAGAAUAUACAGUAAUUGUGAAGUGGGGACUGUACAUUGGCAGGGGUAGUUCCAGUUAAAUUCUGACGGUGCUAAUGGGAAUGCACAUUAGCAGCUAUUUAGGGCCAAGAUAUACAGUAGCAGGGAAAGGUGAUACUGCUUGAUCAACUGGCUAGCUUAUAGCAUGGAUUUGCAAUAGGCUUAGAAGAAAUGAACACAUCUACUGCUGUCGGGUUGUUGGAGGAAGCCUCUCCACCAGUCACAACUGCACAGAACUAUGGCCAGGAUAUGUUGUAUACUUUAGGCAGGGAGAGAAUUAAAAUCCCAGUUGUGUGAGAUCUGGAAAACAGAGGAAGUAUUCUGUAACCAGGCAUCUUUCUUUCUGUCAAGAAGCAUAGAAAACGGGCCAUAACUUUGCUAGUUUGGCCCCAGUUUCUUGUUACCAAACUGGCUGCUUGUGUAGAAGCCCAAACUCCUGUGGCAUCUAAAGCAUCUCUGAAGUGGAUGGUGAUUCUUUUGGAAGCUCAGACAGAAAGCAGAGCCAGCCAGGCUUAUGAUGAUCUGCCUGUGGCAAUGCAGGCAAGAGCAUUUGGAGAUUUGGGAUGUGGGUCAGUGACGCAAAUGAAAUAAAAUUUAAAAUGUAGCAUAUUGCAUAUGCAAAGUGUCAGCAAUCAUUGAAAAUGACGCUCAGCUACCUUGCCACUCCUGGUCCUAUGCCAGUGUAAUAUCCCACUGAAUCAUAGAAUUGUAGAGAUGCAAGGGGUCAUCUAGUUCAGCCCCCUGCAAUGUUGGAAUCUUUUGCCCAACGUGGGGCUCAAAUCCACAACCCCGAGAUUAAGAGUUAUUUCUUGCUGUACCGACUGAGCUAUGUUAGAUCCUCUUAUUUUCUUUCUCCUCUCCUACUUCUAUGAUCCAACCCCAUCUUCUCCUUUUCAGCACAGCUCAUUGCUAAGCAUUUCCUGUGAAAAUGACUCCCCAACCCAAGGCCUCUUCUUUGCUGGUUCUUAGGGGCUACUUUCCCCCCUAAAGUCUCUAAAAAGGUCAUAAUGACAUAAAUCCAGUUUAAUUAAACAUGUGCUGGGUAUUAUAUUGAAUGUCUUCACCAUCUGUUAUGCUGGCAAUGCUGAACACUGAAUCAAAACAAGAAUCUCUUUCAAAAUGUGUUUUGCAGUUAAUAAUAAUUUGGCCUUAGUUAUUUCAUUAGCAUGCCAAACAAAGCAAUGUUCAAAGUGUUGUUUGUGCCUUGUAUUUGCACAUACUAGGUACAAAAUACUUUCUGUACCACAAGAAUUUGAAAACAUUGUCCAAUGCAAACCACACCAUGUGUGUCCCUUUCCAGAAGUUUGCCAGUUUUGUUUUGGUUUUCUGGCAAGGCAUCUGUGCCUUUAACAGCUGUGGGACAAACAACAGCUUGAAACUUCUUUAACAGGCAGUAGGCCAGAUUGCCAGGCACAUCUUUUCCUGGGAAAAAUGACAGGUAAAUAGCAUACAAUCGCUUGGAAAUAGCUAGGGGCACCUCUGGAAAGUGAGGGCCAUUUCAACAAAACAUGCCUUUCUGUCCCGUCCCGUCCCCCCACAUUCCAGCUAAAGAUGAUGUCAAGUUAGAUCUGUGUCUGUGAGAACACCACCCUUGCUAUACAAAAGUAAUGCAGUUUUUGACUGGGACGGAGAAAGUCAGAGAGCUUUGAGCAUUGGAAAACCCAUUUUGGGGCCCGCCUCUUUGGAGAUCUGAUGAGGGCCAGUGGAUUUGUUGUGGGAGUGUUGUUUUUUAAAAAAAGAUAUCUGCCUCCAUCUAUGCUCAACCCGAAUAUUUGUAAAUAAACUCAAAUAAUACCCUCAUGCUCAACAUCAGCACCCAGAAUGGUUAGGCAAACAUUUGGAUGGCAGCAUGCUUUUAGCUGGGUGAACCUGCAGCUGCUUCCAUCUUCAUUUCCCCAGAAUGCAUCUGGGAAAAUGAAGAUGGCGACUGUCAGGGUUGUUUCACCCAGUGCAUCUUGUCUUAGCAGUGCCGGUCUAUGGGGGGGGACAUGUGGUGAUGCUUAGCAUGGACCUGAGCAAAGAAGCGCUGGACAAAGAAGCUGCAACUGCUACUGCUAUUUCCCUUGUUGCGUAGGGCACCUUCAAACCUGGUGCAGGCCCUGAAGACAGAAAAUCCCUGGCCUUUUCCAAGUGAAACCAAAUCCAGGUAAGGACAAUGCCCCUAGAACUUUUCAGUUUGGGAAAGUGAGUGCACAUGACAAGGUGGCCCCCUGUUGGUGACUGAAGGCAAAGCUCCAGAUUCACAUCAUAUACCGGUAGUAGCUGCAAAUAUUAGUAGAAUGAAUAAGAAUAGCUUCACAUUUGUGUUCCGAAGCCUUCUCUCUGGCUUAUUUAUUUAUUAUAUUUAUAUACCACUCUUCAUCACAAGAUCUCAGGGCGCUUCAGGGACUGCUUUCCACUAUGCAAAAGUUUGCCAUUAUGCAAAAGUUUGCCGUCUGCCAUUUUUUCUUAUGUAUUGUUCCUUGCAUGUUAUCUCUGCAGUUUUCCAUCUUUCAAUCAGACAAAAGAAAAAAAGAAGGAUUUAAGCUCAUUGGUCCUUUUAGUGAAAAACAUGGUGGUACGAGUAAUGCGUAUUCUGAAACAGCUUCUUUGCUUACUGCUUAUUCACGCCAGUGCAGUCAAAUAAAUAGACCAGACCUGCAGCUAAAAAUAGUUCCCAUAUCAGAUAUCUAUAGUACGGAGCUUCCUAUGAAAAUUGAGGUGUGGUUGUCAUGAAUACUGGUUAAGGACUGAAAGAUAGUGGCAAGGGAUCUACAGAUUUGUACGAGCGAUUGAAGAACACAACCAUCUGCACCAUUCAAAUAGGUUACCAUUCAGACACACCAUUUUGCUUUAAAAAUGAAUCCGUUGUAAAUUUAAAGAGCUGGACAAGUAUUUCACAGCAGAAAUCUCUGACUCUCAUUUUAAUAUUUUUAUAAUAACUUCUGGCUCUCACUAAUUUAAAGUAGUUGUUCUAACUGAAAAUUACUCUUCUAUAUUGCACGUCAUUUUGAAUGUUCCUCCUCAAUACAUGGUGGAUAAGUUAAAAGAAAAAUAAAACAACCUUAGUUUUGCCUGCAUUUCACUUUUCUUCUUCCUUCCAUCUGAUCUGGCCAUAGAGAGUCAAAUAGCAGAUUAUGGUGUGUGUGUGUGUGUGUGUGUGUGUGUGUGUGGUUUCAGGUUUUUGCAAAUCAAAGUACCCCCCCCCCCCAAUGGAAGGACUGCCAUUAAUAUACUGAAGAACAGUCAUGCAUACCUCCUAGUGUUUCUGACAAUGGUUCUGUGCCUCUUAUUAUUAUGAAAUGCUUUUAAAAUGACACACACUCCAUCAUCUUGUAUACAGGAAGGAGCAGGCCUUUCAGUUCUGCUGUGAAUUUCCAUCCUUACCCUUCCCUCAAAAUCUGAAAUGGUACUCCUGAUAGAUUGUUUGCUCCAGCACUCAAGACCAUUUGAAAAUUAUUUCUGUCCUCUUCCUUUUAGAGUGAAGUAUCUGUCUCUUCUCUGAUCCUAUUUUAAGCCUAGAGAUUUUCAUUCAGUGUGCCACUUACAGUACCUCAUUCACCUAUGCUCUAGUCUAAGAGUGACUAUUCCAUUCAUACAGUGGCUGCUUUCUUCUUUAUAAAGAAAUACUGCUUUGUUUUCUCAUAGAUGAGAUAAGGAACCAAGAAGCCUGCUUACAUGUCAAGGGACAAUUGCCGCUGUAUUAAGUAUACGGGACUUCUGCACAUGGAGGACCAGAGAAAGCAACUGAACAGUUUCUUUUAGUAACAUGAGAAUCAAGUGAAACCCUCUCACAGUACGUUUUGGCUCCUCUCCAGUGGAGGCUUGGCUUUGGGCAGAUGCUAUUCUGAGUAAAGCAUCUCAAAUGUUCUGUUAAUCUAUUCGGGCUGAAUGAAUGGCUUUCUAUUUGAUUUUAUUCUCUUUAAAAAUGCUAACCAAAAAAUGACUAUUGUACGUGAAUUCAGAAAGCACAAAAGCAGAGAACGCCAGCUUUUACCCUUGUGUUUGUUUUCUCCAAGAGUGGGAUAUGUUAGCAAUUUUAGCUAACAGCUGUCACAGACAAGUUUGUUCUUGACAGAUUGCAACAGGAGGGGGAGCUUUUGACUGCAGCAGCCAAGGAAGAAGAGCCUGUUAGGAAAACUGCCUCCAAACACUUGCUGUGCUGUGUGCUCUGCUAAUGUUACCUUUUCAGUUGCUCAAGGCCAAUCUAGACAUGACGGGCAGGGCAGAGAUGUGCAUUUUAUGCAUGUGCCUUCCCCAUUCACAUACACAGCAUUCUGGGUGGGUGCAGAGUCUAUUAUUGCCCUUUUCACAAAAAGGAGGAUUGGGAAGAGAAACCCUGUAACUGUGGGUGGGGGAAGGGUUAGCACCAAGGAUGUGUCUGAAGCCAAUUCCCACUUUGGUUCCCAGAUGAAGGGAAGUAACUGGUAGCCCCACUGCUUGCCUCCAUUCAGCUUCCCUUCAGUGGGACAGUGGAAAUUUUUUGGAGAACAGGAGUUCACCAUGUCAGCCCCUGUAGUCACGCCCCAAUGUAGCCAUGCCACAAAUCCAUGCAGGUCUGUCUGUCUGUUCUCUUUCUCUCUGUGGCAGUAAUACAUUGCAUAAUACACAAUUUAUUAGUACCAGCAUGAUUGCAAUCCUGCGUAUAGUUUCCUGGGGCAGCAAACUCCAUUGAAUUCUGACUGCAAUGGAUCAGUUUGUGAAACACAAUGAGCUUUUACACAAGACCUCUGGCUAGCUAAAAACGCAACCUUUAGCUUUUAAUUAGACACGCAAACAACCUCAGACAGAUGUGUUGACAUUUAAACUGUUAGUGAAAAGUAGGAACCUCGCCAAAGAAAAAGAAAGUAGUAUGCUGGAUUAUUUUCCUCACUCUUAGAUUCCCUUGAUGAUAAUUUGCCACAAGCUUAAAAGUCUCAUUGUCACCACAUUUACUUGCCAUAGGAGAUUCAUUCAGUCACCUUGCCACUCUGAUAAUUUUGGUCUUGCUCCAGCUCUGAAAAAGCUCCUGAACGUCACUCCGCUACAUCCCUGUUCACACAUCUCCUGUGUUCCUAUUUGCUGGAAGAAUGGCAGCGAUGUUCAUAAACAACCAACGAUCUCUGCCAAUUUGGAGAGGGUUGGGAGCAGGCCGAUGUUGCAACCCAACUAUUUAUCGCAGCCUGUGGGAGCUUGUGACCAAGGACUUGUAAACAGGAGUGUUUGCAAGGGUGUUUUGUGGGAAAGGGCUGGAGCGCUGCCUCAUAGUGUAUGUAGGACCAAGAGACAUGGACGGCAAGGGAGCUGCCGCCGUGACCUGCAACACCUGUGCCAUGUUUGUAUUCCUGUCUCAGAAUAUGAAAAACUACACAUGCAGCAAGUGCAAGCUGGUUGCCUUGCUGGAAGAGAAAGUACAGCAACGUGAUGCCCACCUAUCCACUUUCGAGAUACCAGGCAAGAUGAGAAAUUUCUCGAUACAGCAGAGUGGAUUGUCCUGAGACAGUGAUGCAGGUUGGGGAGGAAGAAGAUCACCCACUGCAGGAGUCAAACCCCUGGAAGAACAUGACAAACAGGGGCAGGGCCCUAACUGAGAGGUGGUGCAAGGGCUGUAAUAGGAAAAAGCUAACCUGUACCAUUCUGUUGUCAGGGAACAGGAGCAAGAUUCCUCUUAAUUGAGUGAUGAAGGUGAGGACUCCAACCCUGACAGGUAUGCAGGGCACCGCAUACCCAAUGAACCUACAGAGUAGCACCCCCAACCUGAGGGUGUGGCACUGCCAUCCUCACAUUUGGAGGGCUCUCCUGCAGAAGGCCUGAGCCUCCCCCACUCCACAGCUGUAUAUAAGGCCUAGGCCCCUUUAGGCAAAGAAGCAUCUUGUAACCGUAAGUGGUACUAUUUGUUUAAUUCAUUAGAUUUCUAUACCGUCCUUUCUCAUAAAGUUGCACCUGGUGCUACUGCUACAAAAGCACUCAGUUUCUGUUUAUUCCUUGCUGGAUCAACUUCCAUGUUCCCCAGAGCAAAGCUUCACAUCUAGCCUUGAACCUCUCCUUGCCCUAUACCCUGGUUGAGCCUGGCCCUAUACCCUGGUUGAGCCAGAGGAUAUCCAUGGGAGAAGGGGUGGCAUAAGAAUGCCAGUUUUGCUGUGGCUGGGUAGAGAAUCUUUCCCUCACCACUGAAUACCCAGGACUACCUCCCCUCUCGAUUUAGGAGUUCCAAAUCAGGAAAUGGUAGAUGAGUAACUCCCAGCAUCUCUUAUAUAGGACAGUGACAGGCAGAGCAGCUGAGAAGUUAGGCCAAGUGAAAUUAGAAACCUUUGUAAAAAGGGUUCUGGUUAAGUAAGGUUAUUCCCAUAGAACACACUGAGCCAAGUGUGUCAAAGCAAGUUGCUGCCAGCACACGGCUUCUUCUAGCAUUACUGGGUAACUGUCACUUGGUUGAACCUUCUGAGAAAUUUUAAUAUGAAAUCAAGAGGGACAGGCAAUGGCUGGCACUUUCUAAUAACAUGGGUGAAACAUUAAGUUCUUGCAGUCUUUGCAGCAAUGCACUGACCUGAGCACAUCUGCACCAUGCAUUGAAAGCACUCUUAUACCACUUCAACAGUUAUGGCUGAUCCCCGUCCCACAGUACCAUGAGAACUGCAGUUUUUUAAAGGGUGCUGGCAACUGUAGCUCUGUAAGGGAUAAACUGCAGUUCCCAUAAUUUGCUGGGGAAAGCCAUGGCUGCUAAAGUGGCAUAAAUGUGCUUUAAAUGCAUGGUGUGCAUGUGAUCUUGGGUCUUAAAUUAACUUAAUGCAAGCAAAGUUUAUCAUCUCUUCCACUUCCUACAUACUCUGUGAGAUGAGGUAUGGGAGGAUGCUGCCGGGGGGGGGGGCAGAAUCACCCCAAACUGGAUUGAUUGACAAUUCUCUCCCUCUUCCAGCAGCCCCCUGAUCCCCAUCCCAUAUUUUUUAGCCCUUCACCCUCCAGAGAUUUGGGAGGUGCAGAGGGAGUAUGAAGGUGAUUGCAGUGGGAGGAGAGGAUGGGAAAUCAUAGAACUGUAGAGUUGGAAGGGAUCCUGAGUGCCAUCUAGUCCAACCCCCUGCAAUGCAGGAAUCACAACUAAAGCAUCAAUGACAGAUGGCCAUCCAACCUCUGCUUAAAAUGUUAUUUCUGUGAACUUUCUUAUCUUAGGAUCCAAGCCAAUAAUGCUAGAAAUUGAUUAACUAAGAUUUAUGUUAGAAUAAAUGGUGCCUGAAAUCAUUAAUCAUGUGUAUAAAGUUAAUUGUUGUAGAACCUGAAGGACUUUAUCCCUAGGUGAGGAGGGUAGAACAUGUCCUCCUAUGAUCUGCCUGACUCAAUCCCUGCUCUCUUUUAGAUGAGCAAGAUCUUACCAUGCUUAAUAUUGUUCUUACUAUGUUUCCAUGCUACGUAUGCCUUGGUUCUUAGAAUUUUUAAAAAAGAUUUUUUUCAUUUUGAAUUUAAAUCUGUGAGCUCAUGCACUAGUUUAGCUUAGUGCAGAGAAUAUCACACAAGCAGAGAUAUUAACUAUGGUUGUAUAUUUGGCUCCCUUGGACUGCAAUCCUACCCUGUACUCACUCACCUUGAAGUAAGCCCCAUCAAAUUCAGUAGACAUGUGCAGGGCUGCACUGUUAACUACAGUAUAUAACUUGAAAGAGUGGAAGGUCUUUCUCAAUGGCAGCUGGUGUGAUGAAAUCUGCUUACGCAGAUGAAAGUUUUAUUUUCACAUGCCCAAGGGAUUGAACAGGUAUUCUGGUGACUUUAAGGAACUAUUGUGAAAAGAACCAGAUAUCCACCAGAAUGUUGGAGUUUCAGAGCUGAGAAGCUCCUAUCUCUUGCGCUUAAUUGCCUCACAGCCCUGAUGAAGGCACACCAAACAGGGCCUUGGGGGGAUAUUUUAUUGUGAUUUGCAAGCAACUGUGGAUUUGAUCAGUGUUGGGGUGGAUUUGCAUUUCUUUCUUGCACUUGAGGGGAGGAAAAGGGUCAAAUUAAAAGAUAAUAAAGGUUUGCAGUAUUAUGUUCUAUCUUGGCAUGUUCAUAGAAUACUCCUACUUUUAAACAUAGUAAAAAAAAAAAAAAAGUUAAGCCACUGUAGGAUACCAAAACUAUAAUGAGGAGCCAUGGACUAUGAAUUUGACAAGUAGUGUCAUCAUAGGCCAAUGAGAACUGGGCACAUCAUGUAGCAGAAGAAACUAUUGCAGGUGUUGUUUGUUAAGGAAAGGUGGAUUUUGAUCAUGCUACAUAUGUUAUUUGGCUUUACCAGCUGGAUAGCAUUGGUCACCAGUUGAAUUAAGUACUUAUAACACAGUGUUCUAUAUUCAGUUGCAUAUCUUCAGUUGCAUAGACUUCGUGUGUCUAUUGCAGUGUACGGACAAUCUGGGACUUAGGUCCACCACACUGCCACUGACAGCCAUCCAACUCCAAUGCAGCAGUGAAGCUAGAACUAACCAAAGAGUAGGCCAUCAUAUCAAUAUUGCCUAAAGAACAUGUAUGUUAAAUGUAUGACCCUUAGCAGUUGUAAUUUCCCAGCAUGCUGGAGCUUCAGCAAACAUCUCAUCUCUCCCUCCCACUGUCCUUUCAUGUUCCUCACACACAGCUGUUUGCCAACACACCCUCUCUGUCACUCACUCUCACACCACUAAACUUCCCUUUCAACUCUCCUUCCACUUAACCUUCUCUCAGAACAGGUUCAUAUUGAACAUGUGUGAUGAACACCCUUCUGAAAUCCCAUUGACUAACACUGGCCACAUAAAUGCCUUUAAAAAGAAAAACAAACCAAAACUGCAAUCAUGUUAUACAAUUCAUGAGUAAAGGCACAUGCUUGUUGUGUUUGACCCAACACGGCAAAUCAUUUCCCAAAAGAUGCUGAACAAAUGGAGAAAUCUUUUCCUAAAAAUCAUCCUAGUAAAACCCAUGGAAGGAAAAUGCACGCCAUCUUUCAGCUUGUCAAACAUUUAAUUCAUUUAAAAGAAGGCCUUUAUUAUUUCUACCCUAGAGCUGGCAUGGACCAUCCUCAAAUCGACAUCUCUUACACAGCCAAGUUUCAGAUCAGUCUGUUGAACUAUUUUCUGACUAAAAGCUGUAGAAUCACCUCCUCUCAUUUUCUCUUUAUAAUGAUGGAAUGUGAUUCAGUUGACUCAUCCCUAAUUAAUAUGGGGCUGCAACAGUGGCCCUAUAAUAACUGCUAAUCCUUUCCCCUGAAUGUUGUAUAGGGUCCCUGAAGUAUAAAAUGAAGCCCAUCCUUCCAUUCCCCAUACCCCAGGAAUGUGCUUUUGCUAUUAUUUCUACAAGUGAGUCAAAAACCAGCAAAGUCUGGGAAAUUUAGUCACUAGAGGACUGUAGGUCACAGCCUCUCUGUACAUCCAGCAUCUGAUAAGUGGAAAGGGAAAAUAUAUAUACUUCUUCCUUGUUAAACAGGUGACUCAACCUAGAAGCAAAUUGACUCUUUUUCACAAUUACCAUGAUUUAUAGCAGUGCAAAAUUAUAGGUUAGGUUUAUUCUGAAGGGUGGAUUGUUUCAAAACCAUUCACAAUGAUGACACUAAUCCAUCUUUACCUGCUCAACAAUAAAUGGUCACAUGAGACAAUGUUAUAUGAAGACUCGUGUUCAGCUGCACAAUGUGCUUUCAAGGAAACAUGAACUCCUGCUGGGAAAUUAAUGAGUCUCCACUCAAUAGCACCCUUUGAUUCUGGCUGUGUGUUAGUAAAACCUCAUUUCCUUGUUUUGUAAAAUCUUUGUAAUAAAUCCAGCUGUGAUUUUG